UUCCAUCAUAAAGUUCUCCACGUUGGCAAAUUUCUCCCAAUACUAGGCCUAGGUGUUCCCUUGUCUUCUGGAUUUGGUUAAAAAUCACAAGACUACUGAGUUGGACAUGAGUAGUCGUGAACACAAAAAAUCGGAUUGGUUGUUAAAUAAAAUAAAAAUAUAGAGAGUGUCCUCAGUGGUAGACGGAUCAUGGGUUCCUUUGCAGUCAGGUUAACCGAGGGAGGUUUUUGCUGUUUUAUUCUCCAUGCAACUAUAAUGCGGGUUAGUCUCAUCAAAAAAGUCCGUCAUGGAGGCAAAAUUUCUCCGAAUAUUUGAUAAACAGGGGUUCCCUUGUCAUCUGUAUUGGGUUCAAAAUUACAAGACUACAGAGUUGAACAUUAGUAGUUGUAAACCCUGAAAUUGGAUCGGCUGUUCAACGACAGUAAUAAAAUAAAAUACUGCGAAGGACAGUUCGAGGAUAAAUCCAGGAUGAUGAAAUUGUUGGACAUCCUUGAAAUUCUUUUGGAAGCUGAAGAUUGCAAACAAGAAAGAAUUGAUGGUGAUAUCAUUUUUAGUCAAAAACUAGAGGCUAUCAGCUGAUCUAAUGGUUAGUUAAAAUUAACAAUAAACUUAAUUUUUACAUACAAUUUAUGAACUUUGAUUAUAUUAGAGAGAUGAUUGUGCUC